rnacentral:rRNA from 1 species
UACAGAGGUCCCAAGCGUUGUCCGGAAUUAUUGGGCGUAAAGAGCUCGUAGGCGGUCUGUCGCGUCGGCUGUGAAAACCCGGGGCUCAACCCCGGGCCUGCAGUCGAUACGGGCAGACUAGAGUGCGGUAGGGGAGACUGGAAUUCCUGGUGUAGCGGUGAAAUGCGUAGAGAUCGGAAAGAACACCAACGGCGAAAGCACUCUGCUGGGCCGACACUGACACUGAGAGACGAAAGCUAGGGGAGCGAAUGGG